CGUGUAAAAUCGCUAGUUUGGUAAACAAACAGGGAGGGACUUGAAUGAAGAGGGAUUUUAGGAGACGAUAAAUUGCCUUGAGACGUUCGAGUUCCGUCUGGAGAGGUGUUAUUUUGAAAUUCCACAACGACAAGAACGACGACUACGCAACGGGCUUCUCUCUUCUUCCUGCAUCGCUGAUCUGCAGACCAGAACAUUCACCAAACAACACAUUUCCACAUUCACCUGCGCAUUCUGUGCAUGACAGUGAGGAAGAACAAGAUCUUCCAAAGAUUGAGAUGGCUGAAGCAAAACCACUGAAGGGCACCUUUGUCCCAAUAGCUUCUAAAUCCCCCUCAUGCAUUGACUAUAACUGAUAGGCAAUCAUGCCUUCUCCAUCCCUAUGCAAUUGCUUAACUUUCUGCCUAAAUAUUCGGGCUUGUCAUCUAAGGACCCUAAUGUUCACAUCAGGGAGUUCUUGGACAUUUGCAAAGCGUACUAUCAAUCAUCUGCCUCCUGAAGGCCUCAGGUUACUCUUAGUUUCCUUUUCUUUAAAGAAUGAUGCGAAAUGUUGAUUGUUUUCAUUACUUGUAGGUAUCAUCACAAGCUGGGAUGGAAUGGUCAAGAAGUUUCUAAAACAAUUCUUCCCCACCCAACUGACAAGGAGGUUAAGGAAGAAGAUUUAGAACUUCACUCAAAAGGAUGGAGAUCAGCUUUAUGAGGCAUGAGUAGGGCUGGCAAAAUCUACCGAUCCAAACCAACCAACCGAUUACCACCCGAACCAACAAUGUUGGUAACCAACUAUGCCGGUAACCGAAGUCUUGGUACGGUACAACCGUACUGAUUUCCAGAUAAUGUUUUUUAAUUCUUCUCUUCUCUUUCUUCUUUUUUAUUCUUCUCUCUUCUCUUUCUUCUUUCUUCUUCCUUCUUCUUUCUUUCCCCGUCUCUUCUGUCUCUCUUCUUCUUCUUGAAAAAUAGCAACCUGUAAAGUGCUUCUCUCUGCUCUCUUCCCAGAAUCUGAUUCAAACUCGGCUUCUCUCUGCUCUCUUCCCAGAAUCUGUAAAGUGCUUCAAUAGAGAUUGCAGAUCCGAGGUUGCUUCUUCCUUCACCACAAUCACUCUUCCAUCACUGUGUGUGGUAUGGAGACUGGAGAGACCCAUAACCAUGUGGGUGGAAAAGUUCUCAGAAGGAGAAAACAGAAGAAGAAGGGAUCGGUGAUGUACUCGUUUGUGGCCCAAUGUCAAACUCGGUUACAAGCCCAACCGUACCGAACCGACCGAUUAAAUCGGUAUACCGACUUCUCGGUAUACCGGAUUUUGUGGCCGGUAGUGGUAGAGUUUUUUGCAUACCAGUAUAAGUUGGUACGGUACAUGGUAUCAGCCCGUAAGCUUCGGUACCGAACCGAACCCAGCCCUAGGCAUGAGAGGAAUUUUUGGAGUUACAGUGAAACUAACCCCAUCAUAAGAGCAUCAGCAAUGGGGACCUAUAUUUGGGUCCAAAGUCAAAAUUUGAGUCCAAAUGUAGGAAUUGAGCUGCAAUGGGUCGGAAAAAAUUGGACCUAUAUUCACCUGAGACCCAAAUGUGAGAGCAAAUCUGCUCCAGUCUUGGACCCAAACAAAAUUGGACCCAAAUUAGUGGGACCCGCCAUGUGUUGUGGCUGAUGCAUGCAAUGACAUGCAAGUGGCCUAUGGGAUCAGAAAAGCUGCAUGCACGUGUAGGAAGGGAUCAGAAAAUUCUGGGACCCACAGUCACUUUUAACCCAACGUCUCUUUCUGUUUAAAAUUAAAGGCCAAGAUUGAAUGUUUAAUUCAAUCUAACGGCCACAAAUAGAUUCCAAAAUAUGGGUCCUAAAAUAAGUCCUGCACCACUGCAGCACCCAAUAAAAGUAAGUCUUUUUGUAUACUAUUCAGAUGGACUCAAAUUACUAUUUCAGCUUAUUUGGACCCAAAUUUGAGUCCAAAAAAUGAGUCUCCACUGCUGAUGCUCUAAGAGCAUCAGCAGUGGGGACCUAUAUUUGGGUCCAAACUCAAAAUUUGAGUCCAAAGUGUAGGAAUUGAGCUGCAGUGGGUCGGAAAAAAUUGGACCUAAUAUUGCCGGAGACCCAAAUGUGAGAGCAAAUAUGAUCCAGUCUUGGACCCAAAAAAAUUUGGACCCAAAUUUGUGGGACCCGCCACGUUCUGUUUGCUUAUGCAUGCAAGGACAUGCAAGUGAGGUUUGGAGACAGCACGUGGCCUAUGAGAUCAGAAAAAAAUGGGACCCACACUUAUUUGAACCCAACGGCUCUUGCUGUGUUUAAUUAAAGGCCAAGAUUGAAUGUUU